rnacentral:rRNA from 1 species
AACGAACGCUGGCGGCAUGCCUAACACAUGCAAGUCGAACGAGACCUUCGGGUCUAGUGGCGCACGGGUGCGUAACGCGUGGGAACCUGCCCUUAGGUUUGGAAUAACUCCCCGAAAGGGGUGCUAAUACCGGAUAAUGUCUUCGGACCAAAGAUUUAUCGCCUUUGGAUGGGCCCGCGUUGGAUUAGCUAGUUGGUAGGGUAAAAGCCUACCAAGGCGACGAUCCAUAGCUGGUCUGAGAGGAUGAUCAGCCACACUGGGACUGAGACACGGCCCAGACUCCUACGGGAGGCAGCAGUGGGGAAUAUUGGACAAUGGGCGAAAGACUGAUCCAGCAAUGCCGCGUGAGUGAUGAAGGCCUUAGGGUUGUAAAGCUCUUUUACCCGGGAUGAUAAUGACAGUACCGGGAGAAUAAGCUCCAGCUAACUCCGUG